AGGAGAUGGUCAUAGACUUCCGUAGAUCCAAACCCUCUCUUCAGCCAGUGAACACCUGUGGAGUGGACAUCGAAGUGGUGACAUCAUAUAAAUACCUAGGUGUACAUCUGGAUAAUAAGUUGGAUUGGUCUAAGAAUAUAGACUACAUCUACAGAAAGGGGCAGAGCCGCCUCUUUUGCCUGAGAAGACUCUGAUCAAUAGACAUCUGUAGUAAGACGCUGCAGAUGUUUUAUCAGUCUGUGGUGGCAAGUGUUCUGUUCUACGCUGAAGUCUGCUGGGG